CAAACAGACUUCCUUCAUUCCAUCUGCCUACCAUUGAUCAUAGAUUACUGCUUUAACUGCUUUUAGAGAUCUGCCAAGAUAAAACCUUGUGAAAAUGCAGCAUAUGAGUUCACGUGUCCAACCAGAAAAACUAACAGGAAGAUUCUUUGCCAGAAGUGUGAAGUUUGACCUAUAUGGGAUUUUCCUCCUGGCAUUUCUGUCUUCAUCUGAAGCAUGGUGGGAUAUUCCAUCAUUUCCAAAUCAAGACUGAGUUCUUCGAUAGUUAAGUUAUUAAGAUGUUUUGAGUAGACAUUGGGAUUUUGCUCUUGAUUUGUACAACCUCUAAUAAAAUGAGUCUCAAUUAAUGCUA